GAGAGUUUGAUCCUGGCUCAGGAUGAACGCUAGCUACAGGCUUAACACAUGCAAGUCGAGGGGCAGCAUGGUCUUAGCUUGCUAAGGCCGAUGGCGACCGGCGCACGGGUGAGUAACACGUAUCCAACCUGCCGUCUACUCUUGGACAGCCUUCUGAAAGGAAGAUUAAUACAAGAUGGCAUCAUGAGUCCGCAUGUUCACAUGAUUAAAGGUAUUCCGGUAGACGAUGGGGAUGCGUUCCAUUAGAUAGUAGGCGGGGUAACGGCCCACCUAGUCUUCGAUGGAUAGGGGUUCUGAGAGGAAGGUCCCCCACAUUGGAACUGAGACACGGUCCAAACUCCUACGGGAGGCAGCAGUGAGGAAUAUUGGUCAAUGGGCGAGAGCCUGAACCAGCCAAGUAGCGUGAAGGAUGACUGCCCUAUGGGUUGUAAACUUCUUUUAUAAAGGAAUAAAGUCGGGUAUGGAUACCCGUUUGCAUGUACUUUAUGAAUAAGGAUCGGCUAACUCCGUGCCAGCAGCCGCGGUAAUACGGAGGAUCCGAGCGUUAUCCGGAUUUAUUGGGUUUAAAGGGAGCGUAGAUGGAUGUUUAAGUCAGUUGUGAAAGUUUGCGGCUCAACCGUAAAAUUGCAGUUGAUACUGGAUAUCUUGAGUGCAGUUGAGGCAGGCGGAAUUCGUGGUGUAGCGGUGAAAUGCUUAGAUAUCACGAAGAACUCCGAUUGCGAAGGCAGCCUGCUAAGCUGCAACUGACAUUGAGGCUCGAAAGUGUGGGUAUCAAACAGGAUUAGAUACCCUGGUAGUCCACACGGUAAACGAUGAAUACUCGCUGUUUGCGAUAUACUGCAAGCGGCCAAGCGAAAGCGUCAAGUAUUCCACCUGGGGAGUACGCCGGCAACGGUGAAACUCAAAGGAAUUGACGGGGGCCCGCACAAGCGGAGGAACAUGUGGUUUAAUUCGAUGAUACGCGAGGAACCUUACCCGGGCUUAAAUUGCAGAUGAAUUACGGUGAAAGCCGUAAGCCGCAAGGCAUCUGUGAAGGUGCUGCAUGGUUGUCGUCAGCUCGUGCCGUGAGGUGUCGGCUUAAGUGCCAUAACGAGCGCAACCCUUGUUGUCAGUUACUAACAGGUUCUGCUGAGGACUCUGACAAGACUGCCAUCGUAAGAUGUGAGGAAGGUGGGGAUGACGUCAAAUCAGCACGGCCCUUACGUCCGGGGCUACACACGUGUUACAAUGGGGGGUACAGAGGGCCGCUACCACGCGAGUGGAUGCCAAUCCCAAAAACCUCUCUCAGUUCGGACUGGAGUCUGCAACCCGACUCCACGAAGCUGGAUUCGCUAGUAAUCGCGCAUCAGCCACGGCGCGGUGAAUACGUUCCCGGGCCUUGUACACACCGCCCGUCAAGCCAUGGGAGCCGGGGGUACCUGAAGUGCGUAACCGCGAGGAGCGCCCUAGGGUAAAACUGGUGACUGGGGCUAAGUCGUAACAAGGUAGCCG
rnacentral:rRNA from 1 species